rnacentral:rRNA from 1 species
GAUUUCUGGUAUGAUGCCCCUGAUCCGCGCCCUUUACGGGGUGUGUGUGUUGGUGUGGCGUCUGCCAUCUUUUAUGUAGAUGCUACGUUCAUUUGGGGCCUUUACUGGUUUCAUGGCGUGGGUUAUCAUCUACAUCUUUUACUUUGAAAAAAUUAGAGUGUUUAAAGCAGGCUUUUAGCCCUUGAAUACAUUAGCAUGGAAUAAUAAUAUAGGACUUCGGUUCUAUUUUGUUGGUUUCUAGUACUGAAGUAAUGAUUGAUAGGGAUAGUUGGGGGUGCUAGUAUUCAGCGGCCAGAGGUGAAAUUCUUGGAUUCGCUGAAGACUAACUUAUGCGAAAGCAUU